rnacentral:rRNA from 1 species
GACGAACGCUGGCGGCGUGCUUAACACAUGCAAGUCGAACGGAAAGGCCCUGCUUUUGUGGGGUUCUCGAGUGGCGAACGGGUGAGUAACACGCGAGUAACCUGCCCUUGACUUUGGGAUAACUUCAGGAAACUCGGGCUAAUACCGCAUAGGAGCUCCUGCUGCAUGGUGGGGGUUGGAAAGUUUCGGCGGUUGGGGAUGGACUCGCGGCUUAUCAGCUUGUUGGUGGGGUUGUGGCUUACCAAGGCUUUGAGGGGUAGGCGGCCUGGGAGGGUGGACGGCCACAUGGGGCCUGCGAGACGGCCCAGACUCCAACGGGCGGCAGGGGCGGGGAAUUUACCGAAAUGGGCGGAGGCCGGAAGCAGCAACGCCGGAUGGGGAAGGACGGCCUUCGGGUAGUAACCCGUUUUCGCCUGACACGACACGUGAUGACGGUAAAUGGGCAAAAAGGCACGGGUUAACUCGGU